rnacentral:tRNA from 1 species
GAUCUUUUAGUAUAGUUAGUAUAUUUGACUUCCAAUCAAAAGGCUUUUAAAGAUUA